CCUACGGGUGGCAGCAGUGGGGAAUAUUGGGCAAUGGGCGAAAGCCUGACCCAGCAACGCCGCGUGAAGGAAGAAGGCUUUCGGGUUGUAAACUUCUUUUGACAGGGAAGAGCAGAAGACUGUACCUGUCGAAUAAGCCACGGCUAACUACGUGCCAGCAGCCGCGGUAAUACGUAGGUGGCAAGCGUUGUCCGGAUUUACUGGGUGUAAAGGGCGUGUAGCCGGGCUGACAAGUCAGAUGUGAAAUCCGGGGGCUCAACCCCCGAACUGCAUUUGAAACUGGCAGACUUGAGUUGGCGAGAAGUACGCGGAAUGCGCGGUGUAGCGGUGAAAUGCAUAGAUAUCGCGCAGAACUCCGAUUGCGAAGGCAGCGUACCGGAGCCAGACUGACGCUGAGGCACGAAAGCGUGGGGAUCGAACAGGAUUAGAUACCCCAGUAGUC
rnacentral:rRNA from 1 species